rnacentral:lncRNA from 1 species
UUGGCUUUGGGGAGGUUGUUAUGUGAGGCUGCUGAAGUAGUUUCUCCUAUCUAGAUGCUUCCUGAUGCAGUUGAGAGAAUGGAUGUGAUGUCUUCACUUGUUCUACUCUUGCGGAAGAAGAAACUUUUGUCAUGCUUUAGUGGUUCCAUUGUGAGACUAUUUUUACUGCUUUAAUGAGUACCUUCCGGAAUCAAUCAAUGUUAUUAUGGCAGCUAGAAUAUCAUAUGUUGAGUUUUGUCAAUGAUGUUUUGAGCGUUUCUUAUAUAUUGUUAGUUGCUGCAUUUGCUUUGCUGUCUUGUCUCUUAAAGCAGUUGAUUGCAGCUGGGUUAUUUCAUCAUUAGGUCCAUUGAAUUCAGUUAUCUUAAUGAGAAUUGCAUUAUUUGAUCUGAACCAAAUUGAAAAUUUGGUUGUCAAAUUGAACUGCAAAAACGACUUAUGUUUAGAUAUGGAGAGUAUAAAUGAGAAAGAGUUCAGAUAUGGAUUCUACAUUGAUAGAAUGACAGAACUGUAGAUUGUACUAUCUUUCUUUUGCAUCCUUCGACAGUCAUUUUGCAUUUGGAAUUAGGUCGGCCCAAUUUUCUGAAAGACUUGAAUUUUGCUCCGUCCUGCUAUUGUUUGAAAAUUUGUCGGUCUGGGCUAUUUAUAUUACCGUACGUAUAUUCUGUAUGGCAGCAACGCCAUCAGUGAAAAGUUAAAGUCUGUCAGAAGCUGACUUGCGAAAAGCAGGCCACUGGAGGAAGUCAUCCAAAAACUCAUUCCCAAAGCUUAAAUCCACUCAGUCCCACAACUUGUAUCCAUUAAUUUACCGUAAUACUCUCUCCAUCCAAAAUUAAGUGUCUUGAUUUAUUUCAACUUUAGUGACACUUACUUUGGGAUGUAUAAGUGAAGAGUGAACAUUCCCUCAGCUCCUUGUUGGUGAGGGAUAACAUGCCUGCACUCGGCAGGGAGCUCAGACCUCAUCCUCUUUGCCAUCUCAUUCUCAGGGCAUGUGCAAUGGUGGCAUAUGGAUACAUAUGCCCCAUGACAAAAAGUAAUUUGAGGCAUUUACAUUUAUUUUUUCUCCCUAAUGCAAGUUACCAUUAGUGGACCUCAUUAAGAAAUGAAAAUAAUGACUUUAGUACACAUGCAUCUCUACUUUUCAUUCCUACCUUUUCAGAUUUUGUCAUCGGACCACACUUUUUCUUUUCAAGCAUCCGCCUCUUGGAGAGGAUCCCGCUUCUCUAUCCGAACCUAUUUUACGUCAAAUCCGAUCCUACAUGGCAUGCGAGGCACCACCUUGAGGCUAUGCAUUAUACACGCCCUCAUUCGCUUGUAUAGCUGUCACAUUCCUUCAUACUUGCUUGAUCCCGCCCUCGCCUUCAUCCUCUUCCAUCGCUGCUACGCUUGCUUGAUGCCGUCGUCGCCCUCAUCCUCUUCCAUCUUCUCUCACCCUUCGUCCUCAUUCUCAUGUGCUUCUAACGCCGCUACGUAGUGCUUGCUUUGAUGCCGUCGUCACCCUCCUACCACCGUCCGAAGGGGAAGCAGUGCGACACAUUUAGAGGAUUCUCUUACAAGAUUCACGGGCAUGGCGACAAUAAAUCGGGGGUUGGGGGAGGGGGUUUGUUUUCAUGUUAGACAGAGGAACACACAACUGCCCUCUUCCGCUUCCUGUACAACGGUGUCGUUUGAACUGUGCUGGUCGGCCAAAGCGGAGAGAGCUAUGAUUUUGAGGGUUGUGGGAUGGAAUCAAAGGAGACUAGGUGUGGUGGUUGCUCGAAUGGAGUAGGGUGUAGGCCAUUCCUCUGAGAUUAGGAUUGAGUUUCCUCAAUGUUGUCGCAGUCACGUCUGAUUCAGGGGAGGCGCUCAUGAUUGUGAUGGACAAAUGUUCCUUUGUGGUUAGUACCUCUCUCAUACUUAUAUUAGCAGAUGUGAGCUGACAUUUCACAUUGUCGGCCAUUGUAGUUGCUUGUUAUUGUGAAGUCACCACACAAAUUAUUAUUUUGCUAUCUCUUGUGAAUUUAUUAUCUACUCAUUUAAAAAAUGGACAACGAUAACUGCCAACCAUUUGGUGACAGACAUAUCUGAACGCAACCACCUCGCGAGGCCGAGCCAUCCACAAAAUCCACACCAAAUCUUGGACAAAAAAGCAUCAUCAGUUCCCACGUCAUCUGCACCACCACACCUCUUCUCUGUUUCUUACCCCAGGCACAGGAAACAAGUUCUACUCGGCCUUACCGACCGCCAAAAAACUAUCAUCUCUCUAUAUCUAGAGGUUGCUACAGCACCAUGCCCGAUUCCUUUAGAAAAUCCCCCAAACUCUCUUCUCCCCGUCCUCUGAAAACCACAAUUAUCAACACCGAAUCAAAAAAAUUGCCAGGGAUUGGGGCAGAGAUCCACAAGGAACAAUUAGAUAAAAAAUGUAACCUUUUUAAUCCCAAAAAUCAUCUGGUUUCUCUACAAAACUUUGCAGACCCACUUGUUCCAUUUUGUUACAAGAACAUACUUAUAAAACAAGAAGACAAAGGUAGAACUGCAAAUAGGGUUUGUCGUUUUAAGUUUGGUAUCGUAGCAAGUCAAAGUUUUCAGAAAAAAAGAAUAAGAAAGUUGUCAUUCUGUUUAUGAAAAAGUUAUCAGCUCAUAUGUAUCAAAGUUACCAAAGCAAAAAUACCACUAAAAACUGUUUUCUACUGUUUGAAAAAUUGACUUAAAAUAUAAAAUGUUGAAGAAACUCAUGCUACAUUGAAUAGUUCCCGAGCAGUAUAAAAAAUGUGUUGUAGACAUGAAGGGAAACUCAUGCUAUUUGAAUGAAGAGCUUCCAUCAGAUCCCUCUGAAAAAAACGUGAACAAAAAAAGUAUACAAAAUCAGCGAACAUGUGUAAGUUUCCUUUUUGUUGACGAUAAAAUAAAUGGUGUACGAUAAUAUUAACAUGCGAAUAUAAAAAAUAAUCAGGUGCUACAAUGGCGUCUAACCUUGAAGAUAAUGCGGAUGGCAUACUGAGUGGUGCAAGAAUGAAUCACUAGGAUGAGAAUGCACAUACGACGAUCAAUAAUUAUGCCAACCCUAGCAUCGCCGUCACAGGUUAAAAAAAUCCAUGUGCACCUACCAACCUUCAUGUGUAUAAACUACCAUGAUCACAAAUAUGUUGUUUGCCAUUGUUUCUGGUUAGAAAUUAGCAGCCUUCAAGUGUGUAAACUACCAAGAUAGCAAAAAAUGAUAUGAUAUUUUACUAAUCUUUAUGUAAGAUCCUUACCAGACAACAUAUGUAUAAACUAUCGUGUUCAUAGUGUAUUAGGUACCAAUCUUUGUGAAUCACGUGACUAAACUAUAUGAAAGUUACCAGACAUCUUGAAUGGAGUGAAUCACGUGACUAAACUACUGAUAGCAUGUAUCCAUGUCGCAUUGCCAGUGCUCGAACGAUGAGCAUACCCCGCAGCUUGCCUUGUACAAAACCAAAUGCUAGCAUGGGAGCAGAGAGCUUUGGGGAGCCAACAAUUAGUGAACCGGCAACUCGAGAAUCAAGUGCGAUCAACUAUGAUCAAGGAUACGGCAACAUGGAAGCGUAUUGCACAACCUCCUAAUCCAGGAAUGAAGUUUGGCAGUUUGAAAAACGUCGUGAGCACUACAGGAUUUACGCACGGAGGUGUGGCUUUUGGAUAAGACAUGAGUAAGAGAGAGAGAGAGAGUGGAUGGCAAACCCCUCACAGACAAGGAGGAGUUGUAGGAUGUGCAAAACCCAACCAACAUUUGGGAAGGAGAGGAAAAGGGAAAAGGUUGUGAGGAAUGCCAAGCCCACAUGUACGUUACACAUGUAGAUGCAUGGUGGACUAUCGUCGACGACAACUACAACCAUCCCCUCAUCAAAAAGCCAUCCCUAACAAAGUUUCUGUCAUCACAUCAGAACAUCCCCGAGGAGGUAAUCGAAACUGCAAGGCAGAUGCAGCUGAUGGCAUGGUUCUACAGGUUUGCUCAUGAUGUACCCUACAUGAUGUAAGACAUUACAAAUGAGCGAGGUAAAUUUCGCAUGGAUCACUGCCACGCAGACGUGGGGAGCGCUAUUGCGUACUUUGAGAAGAUGAGGGUCAAGGAUUCACAUUUCUACUGGAGAAUCAAGCUUGAUGACGAGGACUAGGUGGAGUUGUUCUGGAUUGACGGUGCGUCACACAGGGCCUAUGCAAAGUACAACUACUGGUUGUCAUUCGACACUACAUACAUGCCGAACAUGUACAAGAUGCCAUGUGGACCCUUCAUUGACAAUAAUAACCAUGGAUAAUCCAUCCAGUUCGAGUGCGGUUUCAUUCGCAACGAACUGAUCGAGAAAUUUGUGCUACUGUUUAACACAUUUUUGCAUCCAAUGGGUGCUAUUGUACAGAAAAACAUCAUCACGGAGCAAGACUUUACGACGAGGGCAACCAUUGAUAUGAUGGGGGGCUUGUCGAUGGGAAGUGGGCUUCUGCCUCACAUCAUGGCGCGUGUACCCCUAGGUAGGUCGUCCAGGCCCAUAUCUAGGCUCAACCCACAUUUGAGCAAAUGACUACCAUGAACAGGUACCCCCAGGAUUUCCGAAGGGGAGACGUUCCAUUACCAAAUGAGUGGGAGUCCAAGUCGUAGGCUGGGAUACCAAGGCGUACAGAAGCCAAACCAACAAAGGCCGACAAUAAAUACCUCAAGACCUGGACAAGGAAGGGAAAUUUUCUACUUGGAUGGCUAAGAUGAUAGAGGAAUCAAAGCUCUAGCUUAGCUGAGAGUAGAUUCGAUAUAAGACAUCCAGUCUAGUUCUACCACCUCGAAACCCAACUAGCCCAUAUCUAUGUCGUUGGAUCCCCUCCCCCAUUGUACUCACUUUCCUUGAUAUAACUCUAGACAAGCAAGAUUAGGGUUUUACUUGCAUCACAAGGGCACAAACCUGGGUAAAGUCUCUUUGAUGUGUACGUCUAAUAAUCCGAGGUUGCAUCCCAUUUUCAUACAAAUCCACUUAUGUUAGUGUACCGUUGUUGGGUACAUUGCGAAAUGAUACGUCCAUUUUGCAUCAUGUUAUACUACUUUUAUUUAUAAUGUUUUAGAUCAAUAUUUCACUUUACGAUGCAAUUUUAAUGCCUUCUCUCUCUUAUUAUGCAAGAUAUACAUGGAGAGGGAAAUUGUCGACGACUGGAUUUCUGGACCUGAAAAAAACUACAAUAGAGACAACUAUUCUCCGAAGCUCGAAAUGACCUGAAAAUCUACGAAGAUUUAUUUUGGAAUAAAUAAAUAAUGCUGGAAGAAGAAUCACCAAGAGGGGCCCCACCAGUGAGUCAGAAGCUUAGGUGGCACACCACCUGGGCGCGACAUGUGAGCUUGUGGGCCCACCAGUAGGCUUCUGUGGCACUCCUUCUCCUAUAUGAAGCCAUUUGCCCUAGAAAAACAUCAAGAGAAGACUUUCGGGACGAAGCACCGCCAUCUCGAGGUGCAACCUGGGCAGGAGCACUUUUUCUCUCUAGCGGAGCGAUUUCGUCGGGGAUACUUCCCUCCGAGAGGGGGAAACUGAAGUCUUCAUCAUCACCAAUGUUCCUCUCAUCAUGGGAGGACCCAUCUCCAUCAAUAUCUUCACCAUCACCAUCUCAUCUCAAACCCUACACUAGUAGAAAACAGGGCUUUGGUUGAGGCCAGGAUAAGGGCAUUAAUCCCGAUUCACUCAUGAACCGGGACCAAAGGAUGCAUCAGUCCCAGUUUGUGAGGCCAGGGUGCCGGCCGGGCCUUGAGGGCCAUUGGUCCUGGUUCAUCUGACCCCUUUGGUCCCGAUUCUAGACACGAACCGGGACCAAUGGGCCUCGCUCCUGUCCCAACUCCUUUAGUCCCGGUUUGUGGAUGGAACCGGGACCAAAUGUUUUCCUUUAGUCCCGGUUUUAGCCACAAACUGGGACUAAAGAGAAGCCUAUAUAUACCGCUGCCCCUGCCCGCGACAGAGCCACUGCUCUGUUUUUUUGGCUGGCCGUGGGAGAGGUGUGUUGCUCUAGCUCACCUCCUAUGCACAUGAGGUGUUCGAUGAAAUGCCCGAGCCACACUUAAACUUUCUCCUCUCCAAGCUCCUUGUCCAAGCUCCAUUUUCCUCAAGAUUUUUCUAGGUUUGCUGAUCUGUCCUGUCCCGUCCCCGUCCUCACCACCGUCGAUCGCCCAUGCUGAUCUCGUCACCGGCACCACCGUUGUGAGCCUCUUGUUCUUAUCUUCUUUCUGAAAAAAUAAUUCUUACUUGUAUGAUUUAGAUAGAUACUUGUAUAAUUUUCUUACUUUUAUUAUUGUUUGUUAUUAUAUAGUGCGAUGAUUUUGGUAUCCGCCCCUGUCGGCCCUCGUGCUGUAUAUAAUUCAGAUGUGGUAUAUAUUAUCUUUUAUAACUAUUUGUUUCAUUAAGUGUUUAUGACAAUUAUGCCAACCAACGUGACAUAUAUGUUUUUAUUUAGGAGGUAUGUGAACCGGAAAUUCCAACCGACCCUCUUGUCGAGAGGUUAAAUUUAGUUGGAAAAGAAAACAAUUAUUUGAAGAAAAAAUUAAAAAGAAUUGAGGAGGAGAAGAUGGAAUUCGAGUUGCAUGUUGCGUAUGUCGUUGAUGAUCACAAGAUCAAGAUGGAUGCAAUGCGCUUGAAGAUUAGAAAGAUUAGAAAAUAUGCCAUUCAUACCGAGGCUUAGUAUCAUUAUGUCGUUGGAUCAUUUGUUACCUUAGUUACGACUAUGAUCACAAUUGUUGUUGCAUUGAAAUGUUUUACAUAGUUUCAAUGUAUGGUUUAAUUAGAUGCUCUAAAGAGCUAUAUGUUGUUCAAUGAGAACUAUGUAUGAACUUUAUGUAUUUAUUUUUUCAGUAAUAACAUUUGAUCACUACUGUACUUUGGUUUUAAUGUGAUGAUGAACUUCUAUUAAUUUGGUUACUUCUCUAUUCAUGAUGUUCUGUAAUGGUUUUUUGAUGCGGUCAUCCCAGGUACUCUUGUCGUUUCACCAUCAUCGCCAAGUAAAGUAUUUUCCAAGCGAGAGACUGGCUAUGAAAAUAAGAUGCAAAAGUAUGUGGUACCUGCUCUGCAUCAUAAGAAGAUAAUGUGUGCUACAAAACAGAGAGGAAUCUUAGGUGUGAUGCCUAUUUUAUAUGCUACUGAAGUUGCUCCUCGGAUCGCGCCUCGUGAAGAAGUGAAGCCCACAUUGAGAACACCUUGCCAAUACUUCUAUGUAGGCCGGCAGAAUGAAAGUUUGAAGGCUGCACCAUCGAGUUCAUUUUAGUUUUGGCCUAGCAACCAUAUAUACAUGCAAGUAUACGUACGUGUCUUCUUUUUAUUUAUUUUUCCUAGUUUGUUCAGAUUUUGUAGUUUCUUUCUACGUACAACUUGUAAUUGCUGAGGAGUCCUCAACGUGUCCUAGUCUAGGUCGGGCUUGGCCCAGGUGUUACGCACCGGGGCGCAACUUUGUCUAGGUGGAGGUUUUAGUUUAUGGAAAAUAUUCGCAGAUGCAUCCGAUGAUGAGGCAGUCUGUUUCCUGCGUUCCAUAAUUUGGUUCAUGAUUGCUUGUGUUUCGACGACUUGAUUUCUACGACCACUAGUUAGUUUGGUUCUUGACCUGCAAGGAUCGAUCUCAUCUCUUUCCCUUCCGUCUACUGCUGCUAAAUUCUCAUAUGCUAAUUACUCCGUCGUCGCUGCCGCCACUGAUCAUCAUUCGCAUAAUCCAUCCAUCUUUUUUUAGAACGAAGGCUCAAGAAGAGCCCGGCUUUGAAUUAAUAAAGCCAUCAACCGGCCAGGAUUACAUCGAACAAACAAAGGAAACAAAGAACAAAAUAGCAAGCUGAUACAUGGUGUUGUGUAAAAGCUAUCAUGCUACAACAAACUACUAGCAAAGAUAUGGAAACUAAAGCACAAGUCCAGCUAGAAGUCGAAGGAGCCCUCCACAGCGAGCAGAACACCACGCAGGGCACCAGCAAAGCUUGGGGAUGAAACAAAUAGUAGUUGGAGGAGCUCUGUAGCCAGCUCCAUGGGCUUUGGCCAUCGAUGUCUCCCUCCUCCACCUCAGAAGGGGGCUCCCUGCCCCCUCGCCCUGGCACGAAGGGAGCCGAUCCGUCGAGAGGUGGAGACGCCCACCCGAGGGCUAAAGAGCGGCCGACCCGUUGCCAGCCGGAAGACCACACCAGGAUACCACCGCCAAACUACUUGGAGCUCAUCCAAGGAAAGCAUCGGCAAUGCAUGAUAUUUGCACACGAGGAGAAGCAAGCUACACGGCAAGACUACUGAAGACCGAGCAACCCCCAACUAGAACAAGCACACUUCCCCCAAAGCUCACCAAAGACAGCACCCCCUUGAGGGUGACGACGCCCACGACGUCGGUGCCGCCCAAUCCCGAGGGAUUUGGGUUUCCACCUGGUCCAUGAGCAACACGGGAGGAAAAGGAGGGGGAAAGGGGGCAUUUUUACCAGCGCCUACAAGUAGGGGACGACGCCCAUGGGUGGCGGUGCCGGCAGGCCGGCAUAGGCAGCCACAGGUUUCUCCGGUCCCCUCUCCCAACCCCCACCUCGAGAGGAGACACGGCUACGGUGCCCGGAGGCCGCCGGAGAACGGAUCUGAGACGAGGGUGACAAGAGGUUGAAGACCGAGAUGGGCGACCAACACCCCCUGCCGCCGUUUGCUGAGGACAACACAGCACCACCGCCCGAGGUCACCACCUCGGCUCCGAGAUCCUCCAUAGGGGCGGAGCGACCAGAUCCUCGCCGCCACCAUCCUCGGCGGCCGUGCGGUGCUCUGGCGACCCCCUCCGGCAGCGACGAGGGGGAGGAAAAGGGGGAGGGAGCCCCGACGGCAGGCUAGGGUUUGAGCCGCCCGAGUCGCCCCUGUGGGAGCGACGCGGGGGCCUUGGGGGGGGGGGAUGGUCUCCACCACCAGGAUCAAACGUGAGAAGUUAGGGGUACUUCAUAAUCCAUCCAUCUAGUCUAGCUCUAGUACUACUACACCACGUCUACUACUUCCGAUCCAUCUAGUCCAAGUUCUUCCACACGUACNNNNNNNNNNNNNNNNNNNNNNNNNNNNNNNNNNNNNNNNNNNNNNNNNNNNNNNNNNNNNNNNNNNNNNNNNNNNNNNNNNNNNNNNNNNNNNNNNNNNNNNNNNNNNNNNNNNNNNNNNNNNNNNNNNNNNNNNNNNNNNNNNNNNNNNNNNNNNNNNNNNNNNNNNNNNNNNNNNNNNNNNNNNNNNNNNNNNNNNNNNNNNNNNNNNNNNNNNNNNNNNNNNNNNNNNNNNNNNNNNNNNNNNNNNNNNNNNNNNNNNNNNNNNNNNNNNNNNNNNNNNNNNNNNNNNNNNNNNNNNNNNNNNNNNNNNNNNNNNNNNNNNNNNNNNNNNNNNNNNNNNNNNNNNNNNNNNNNNNNNNNNNNNNNNNNNNNNNNNNNNNNNNNNNNNNNNNNNNNNNNNNNNNNNNNNNNNNNNNNNNNNAUAUAUAUAUAUAUCUGUCAGCUCUAGUUCAUCUGCUUCCGAUCAAGUAUAUUCUGCUACCUCUUUGCGCCGGUGAAAGAUCAGGGACAUCCCACAAAAUCGACUCAAAGCUAUUUGAGUCGUAUCAAUUGGUAUCAGAGAACGCCAGGUUUAUCACUGCGCGCGAUGUCAACCGCAAGCAAGCGUGACGUGGAUGAGGUGCAGGAGGAUGACGGGCCACCGCAAUAUGGUCCCGAUCUGGACCCAUGUGUCCGUGCUAUGUUCAAGGCUACAUACCAGCACUUCGACAACCGCAUGAAGGCCCUCGACGAGAUGGUGACCGACGAGUUCCAGGCCAUGCAGGCAGCCCUUCAUCGCCUAGAAGCAAGGGCAACCGGCGCGGCUGCUCCAGCGAGGGCACAACAUGCCCUGCAACAACGAGCACCUCAACAUGCCCGAGAGGCGGACGUUGCCAAUGACGACAAUGAUGCUGAGUCCGAGGAUGGUUUUGAUGCUCACGGCGACUUUCCUCGCCGACCACGAUAGGAUGCUCAUCCCCGUGAUGAUGGACCAAGGCGGCGCCGCGAUGAGGACGAGGACGGAGGUAUUGGUAGAAUAAAAUUACUAUACCUUUGUUCAUAGGCAAGGCCGGUCCUGAGGAGUAUCUUGAGUGGGAGAUGCAUGUGGAGUAGAUUUUUGAUAACCACCAUUACUCCGAGGAGCGGAAGAUUCGUUUUGCUUCUCUCGAAUUUUCAGGUUAUGCAUUAAUUUGGUGGGAUCAACUCAACUGCAAUGACGCACGACUAGAAUCGUGGUGUGAGAUGAAGCAUACAAUGCGUGCUCGCUUUGUGCCAGCUUAUUUCCAGAAGGAGCAACACACAAAGCUUCACGUCUUGUUCAAGGAGCCAUGGCGGUGGAUGAGUAUUACCAACGGAUGCAAGUUCCGAUGAUCAGAACUAAUGUGCAUGAGUCUGAUGAUGCAACAAUGACACAUUUCUUUGAGGGACUGAAUGAGUAUAUACGCGACCGUGUUGAUUUGAUGCAGUAUAAUGAUAUGCAAGAGCUUCUUCAUCAAGCAGAGUGUGCCAAACAGUGGGUCAAAGCAAAGCAAGUUUCCAAAGGCUGCACCAAUUUCAGCAUGGGGCGACGUUCCUAUUCGCAUGACAAUGAUAAUGUCAAGCCAGUUUCAUCCUAUAGGUCAGCUGAUAUCGAUCACAAGGAGAUGAACAAAGAAUCUAUGGCCACGAGCAAAGUGGAUUCAAGGGCUGAUUCAAGUGUGCGGUCUGCUAUGCGUACUAGUGAGAUUGUGUGUUACACAUGUGGAGGUAGGGGACACAAACGCAUUGAUUGUCCGAACAAGAAGAGAGUGCUCCUUGUUAAUGAUGGAUAUGUUUCUGAAGACAAAACUGACUCAGAGUCUGAUGAGCCCAAGCAAGGGGAAAGUGAAUCUAAUCCUAUCACGUGCUAUCCUUUAGAUUAUGAUCUGCCAUGCAUCAUGGUGCAACGAGCUAAAGAGGAUCAAAUUCCAAGGGUGGGACAACGGUGGAAAAUUUUCCAGUCACAAUGCCGAAUCAACAAGUGUUGCAAGUUGAUUAUUGAUGGAGGGAGCUACACCAACAUCAUAAGCAAGCGUGUGGUAGAUGUUUUAGGACUGAAGGCAUGGCCACAUCCGCAACCACAUUGCAUUGAGUGGUUGUACAACUCUGGACGUCCGAAGGUGACUCACAAGGUACGUGUAAAGUUCAAUAUUGGCACAUAUUACGAUGAUGUGAUUUGCGAUGUUGUGCCAAUGGAUGUGUGUCAGUUGCUAUUGGGUCGUCCGUGGCAAUAUGAUCGCAAUGCUAUACAUGAGGGGAGGUCUAACACUUUGUGUUCCGAGAUGUUGGCAUCAAACGUGUGCUACAACCUAUGGGUAACAAUGCUAUCAAGAUCGAUCAUGUGUUUGCUGUACACAAGGAGCCUUUGAAGACUGCCCUGAAACCGAGGACGGUUUCGCUUGAAGGGGGAGAGGAUGAUGCGAUCACCCUAGGUAAUAUUGUUGUUCCACCAUUGCUACCAAAUAAGAUACCUUCGAAACGAGUCGCUAAUAGUGAGGAAAGUACAUCAAAAUAUAUUGUGCCUGCUUUACGUCAAAGGAAGGUGUCGCAUUCAACAAAUCAAAGAGGUAUAUUAGGCUCCAUGCCUUGCUCACGUAAUGUAACGCCCUCGAUGCGGCUAUAUCUCCCACGUGUCGAAGCACGACUUAGAGGCAUAACCGCAUUGAAAGCAAUGUCGCAAGUAAGGUAAUCUUCGCAAACAACCCAUGUAAUACAAUAAGGGAAAAGAGAUACAUAGUUGGCUUACAAUCGCCACUUCACACAAAUACAUGAAUAAAACAUUACAUCAUCCAAAUACAAUCAAGGUUUGACUACCGAACCAAAAUAAAAGAAGAACCCCAAAUGCGACAAGGUCCCCGAUCGACCCCAACUGGGCUCCACUACUGAUCGACUAGAAUGGAACAACACAAAGGACAAGAUCUUCAUCGAGCUCCUCCUUGAGCUUGGUUGCGUCACCUGCACGGACUCAUCGGCACCUGCAAGCUGGUUUUGGAAGUAUCUGUGAGCCACGGGGACUCAGCAAUCUCGCACCCUCGCGAUCAAGACUAUUUAAGCUUAUGGGUAAGGUAAAGGUAUGAGGUGGAGCUGCAGCAAGCGACUAGCAUAUAUGGUGGCUAACAUACGCAAAUGAGAGCGAGAAGAGAAGGCAAAGCACGGUCGAUAAAAGUAUGAUCAAGAAGUGAUCCUAAACAACCUACGUCAAGCAUAACUCCAACACCGUGUUCACUUCCUGGACUCCGCCAGAAAGAGACCGUCACGGUAACACACGCUGUUGAUUCAUUUUAAUUAAGGUCAAGUUUAGGUUUUCUACAACCGGACAUUAACAAAUUCCCAUCUGCCCAUAACCGCGAGCACGGCUUUCAAAAGUUCCAAUCCCUGCAGGGGAGUCCCAACUUAGCCCAUGACAAGCUCUCACGGUUAACGAAGGAAUAGACCUCCUCCCGAGACAUUCCGAUCAGACUCGGUAUCCCGGUACUCCAAGACAUCCUCGACAAUGGUAAAACAAGUCCAGCAAAACCGCCCGAUGCGCCGACAUCCUGAUGGGAGCUGCACAUAUCUCGUACUCAGGGAAACACCGGAUAGGUCAAGCUACGAGUAAAACCAGCCCUCAAGUUUCCCCGAGGUGGCCCCGCAGGCUGCCCAUUUCGGACCAACACUUAGACAAGCACUGGCCCGGGGGGGUUAAAAUAAGAUGACCCUCAGGAUGAGCGACUCCCAAGGGAAAAAGGCUAGGUGGCAAAUGGUAAAACCAAGGUUGGGCCUUGCUGGAGGAGUUUUAUUCAAAGCGAACUGUCAAGGGGUUCCCAUUAUAACCCAACCGCGUGAGGAACGCAAAAUCCGGGAACAUAACACCGAUAUGACGGAAACUAGGGCGGCAAGAGUGGAACAAAACACCAGGCAUAAGGCCGAGCCUUCCACCCUUUACCAAGUAUAUAGAUGCAUUAAUUAAAUAAGAUAUAUAGUGAUAUCCCAACAAGUAAACAUGUUCCAACAAGGAACAAUAUCUCCAUGUUCCAACAAGGGACAAACUUCAAUCUUCACCUGCAACUAACAACGCUAUAAGAGGGGCUGAGCGAAGCGGUAACAUAGCCAAACAACGGUUUGCUAGGACAAGGUGGGUUAGAGGCUUGGUUCAACAAUAUGGGAGGCAUGAUAAGCAAGUGGUAGGUAUCGCAGCAUAGGCAUAGCAAAAGAGCGAGCAACUAAGCAAGCAAAGAUAGAAGUGAUUUCGAGGGUAUGAUCAUCUUGCCUGAGAUCCCGCGAGGAAGAAGAACGAGUCAUGAAGAAGACACACGGACGAAGUCGAACGGAUCCUCACAACUCCGGAACGGAACCGAAGCUCACGAGAAAGGCAACCCGGAAAGAAGCAAACAACAUAGUAAACAACCAUCACAUAAUCAUGGCAUGAUGCACAACCAAGUAUGAUGCAUGUCCGGUUUAAAGAGGGCAAGACAUGGCAAAAGCAACAAGUAAUACUACAAAUUAAGUGGAGCUCAAUAUGCAACGAGUUGCACAUUGACGGAACACCACACCAAUUAUUUAGUUCUCUCUCGGUUAGGUACUCAACAAUACUAAAUGUUGGUUAACAUGGCAAGAGGUGUAGCAUAUCAAACUAUACCAUCUAAACAAUUUAAAUGGGGCCGGAUAUAAUAAACAACAAAACCGGUAAAUCCCCAUAUGCAAUUAUCAAUUUGGUGCAACAACAAUUUAAGCCAUCUUAAUGUUGUUAAUAUGAUGCGGAUGACAUGCUCAAGUUUUAUGCAAGUUUUAUUAAAAGUUGACAAGAGCAUUAUGAAACAUUUGUCACCGUGGUGGAAAGGAAAAAGGGUGCCACGACAACGAUAAUGAAAACGGUGCCACGGCAACGUUCCGGUUCCGGUAACUCGAUUGAGAUACCGAUGCAAAGGAGAAGUGUGCGGAACAUGACAUGCAAGGAUGGUGGGGAGUGAUCCCGGAUUCCGGGUGUCCCAUGAGUUGGUGGCAUGGCAAAAAGAGGGGCGACGUGCACCGACAAUUCGAGCACGGAGCAAGCAUGAGCAUCUCAUACAACACACAACAUUCGUUCAUGGGCGUCGUCUCGAGGGUUAUACCUUCGAAGGGUGCGUUAUCGGAGCGGUUCGGGUCAAGCAGUGUAGUUGUUCACGAUCGUCGUGGGAAGUAGUGGUACUCGGUCGUCGUGGAAGUAGUUGUUCACGGGUCGUUGUGGGAAGUUGUCCUUCUCGUGGCGACGGUAGUUGUUCACCCGACGGUCUUUGGAAACGGUCACGACAUACAGGGUUCGUAGAUGUUCGGGUCGAGGGUAGCAAUACUUAGUAUCUUGCGGAACUUGACGGCCCGUCAUGGUACUUGGCGGUCUCGGUACUUGGCGGUCUCGAUCGGAGCAACAACAUGUAGCCGAACUUGGGGUCUCAGUCCUGGCAAUCAAAAGGGUACUUGCGGUCUUGACGAACCCGUAGUGGUACUGGGUGAGAUCAUGGCCAUGGUAGUCUUUGGACUUGGAGUUUUGUGUAGUCGAACUUGAGGUGCUCCUGGACCGGCUGGACUUGGCGCGUCCGACAGCAAAAGAUACACAAAUCGGGGUUGGUGGUGACUAUGAGGAAUCCAACGACGAUGCACUCGGCAUCGAGGUCCCGCAGCGCAUCAGCGGCAGGAGGCAGGCCUUAACAGAGAUGGAACAUGGCGAACACAUGCGGAAGGGAACACAACGAAGUGGAUGGCAGCGGCUUGCUUGCCGGCAACGGCUGGAGACGGAGGUCGCCGGUGCAGGGACUCGACCGGAGUCAACGACACGGUCAUCGCUGGCCCAUGCAACGGGUCAGCGAGGCAGGGACGCUGGCGAUGCAAAGGUCAGGGCGGUACUGCAGUGGCGCCGCACAGCAGAAGAAGAAGAGGGAGGCGCGACAGAGGCGAUGGCAUGCGGGUCCGGCGAGCUUCGACCCGUGGCGGCGCACGCGCAGAGGUAGGUCGCGGCGUGCGCGAGGUGGCCAGGUGGCGGCGACGGGCGAUGCUGGGAAGAGCAGCUGCAGCAGGGCAUGGAAGGAGGAGUAGCAGAGGAAGGGGGCCGCGCGGAGGGGCGACGUGCUCGCCGGCGUGAGGUGCGCAUAGGCGAGGGAGAGUCAGGGAGGAGACGUGCGCGUCGGGGUCCUGUGGGUGGCGGCGCGAGGGAGAUGGGGAUCAAGGAGAUGCGGAUCGAGCGCGUGUGUCCUCUCCUGGCGGCGCGAGGUUAGCGAGAGGAGGGAGAGAUGGGAGAUGGGGAUCGGGCUGCGGUACUAGGGUUAGAAAGCGGGACUGGGAAGCGGGCCGGCCUGGACUGAGGCCCAAGUGACCAGCUGGGUUACUCUCUCUCUCCCCCACUCCUUUGUUUUUUAAAAAAAACAGAGAAAUAAAAGAAAGGAAAAAGGACAGAGGAGAAGGUUGAAGAAGAAUUUGGACAAGCGGUAAAUUUUCUUAGACUCACAAAAAUAUGUUAGGUCCGAGAAAAUUAGGAAAGACCAAGAUUGAAAGAAUAAAUUCAAAUUUCUUUGAAUUUAAUUCAAAAGGUUUGAACUAGGAUAGAUUUUAGGAGUGCCCAAAAAUGUUGAGAAAUUAGGUGGAGCUCCGGAAAAUGACGAAAGGACAUGUGGCAAAGUUAGAGGCCAAGAGUUGAGAAGGAAAAAGGCAUGGAACUUAGCUGUAAGUGUGUUAUGGUGAUUCCAAAUUAAUGGAACGGUUUUUAUAUAGCUCCCUAAAAAUUGGGAGGAUAUGUUAUAAAGAGAAACACCAUAUGAAUUCCCUCGAUUUAAAUGGAGCGAAGAUCCAUACGGUUUAUUAAUAUGAGUUGCAAAGAUUAAUGACAUGAUGGCAUGAUGACAAGAUGCAAUGCACAUGAUGCAAAGAUGAAUGCAAUGCAUGACACGCAAGCAAAGACAACGCAACAACAGCGAAUAACUGGACGACACCUGGCACAUCGGUCUCAGGGAGCUACACGUAAUAUCCAAGGAAGUCAAAAGCCAGACAUUUUAUUCAGGGAUCCAAGUAUUGGUGAGAUGCCUAUUGAGCUAAUUCCUUCAGAUGAAGUGGAGCCUUGCUUUAGAACUCCAUAUACCGUCUAGGGUAGCAUCAAAGUAUUCUCUUCUACAGUGUCAUAUGGCUGGAGAGCUUAAUUAAGGAAACAUGAGUUUUUGUAAAGGAAAUCACGUGUGCCAAUAAACACGUAGAUAUCCUAUUUUAGUGGGAGUCUUUUUGGUAGAAGAUAGGGAUAAAAUAAUGGGAUCGUUGUGAUCGUAGCAGUAAGUUUAUAUAAGUUUUCUUUUAGUCGGUAACCCAGGUCGCCCUAUAUAACGGGGAGGCUUCGGCCAUUGUGAACAGGUUUUAGCUUUAGGAAAAAUACUCUCAGAUGAAAAAAGUCUGUCCCGCUUGGGUGACGGUUAACGUCCUGUCCGGUGAUUCCCGGGGCGAUUCCUUAGGCGAUCACGAUCGGGGCUGCAUGUCUGCCUAGGGUUCUUACGAUCCACUACCGCCUAGACUCAUCUGUCAUCCUCGUCCUCGUGUUUGCGUCCUUCCUCCCAUCCUCAACCCAUCCACCAUAAGCCUUCUGCGUGUUACCCUAGGGCACGUGGUCGUACAACACCUGAUCCUAGGAGGAGGCCGGGGCGGUUGGGGGUGCGGAGUCAUGGCGCUGGAAGGGGUGGCGGGGAUGUUGAAGGGUUUGAAGCUUUCGGAGGAGGAGAAGAAGGGCGUGAAGGUUCGGCUCUCAUCUAGGGAGAAAGGGAAGGAGACGAUGUGGCAGGCGGUGGGUAAGGUCAUGUCUGAGAGAUUGGCACAUCCAUAUGCGAUCUGCCUCCCCCUGGGCAAGGUCUGGUGUCCGAUCAAAGGAAUUGGGUGCAAGGAGAUAGGUGUGAAUCAGUUCCUAUUCAUGUUUCAUCAGGAGUCGGGUAAGCGCAAGGCGAUUGAAGAUGGAGCAUGGAUGUUUGACAAGGAACUCAUGGUGGUGGAAGACUACGUAUCGACCAAGAGGCCGGAGGAUUAUAAUCACAACAACAUCCCAAUUUGGGUUAGGGUUUAUAACCUUCCUCUCGGCAUGAUGAACAAGGAGUCUGCUGAGGAUAUUGAUAACAUCAUGGGGGAGUUUGUGGAGGCGGACACAUGGGCUGAUGGGAUUGCUAUUGGCAGGUUUCUGCAGAUCCAAAUCAGGAUGCAGAUUGAUAGACCAAUCAUGAGGGGUUUUACCCUUGACGGGGGUGAUGAGAGUGCAGAGGUGCAGGACAAGGGGAAGGUAGCCAUGGAGAGGGGGGAAGAAGAGGAUGAUAGAGAUUGGUGCAGAUUUGAAUAUGAAUACUUGCCAGAUUUCUAUUAUACAUGUGGGAUCAUUGGUCACGGAGAGAAGGAUUGCUCUAUCAAGUUGAAGAAGGGAGAACGCUCACAAUUUGGACGCUGGCUGCGCGCUGAUAUAGGUCGGCGAAAGGGAUGGUCCGAGGAGAGAUUUUGGAGGUCUGGAGGAAGAAGUUCCAGCGGGCCACGCAACNNNNNNNNNNNNNNNNNNNNNNNNNNNNNNNNNNNNNNNNNNNNNNNNNNNNNNNNNNNNNNNNNNNNNNNNNNNNNNNNNNNNNNNNNNNNNNNNNNNNNNNNNNNNNNNNNNNNNNNNNNNNNNNNNNNNNNNNNNNNNNNNNNNNNNNNNNNNNNNNNNNNNNNNNGCUUAUCCUAAGGGAAGAGCGAAUCCCACUCCAAUGGAGGUGGAGUUGGCAGGUCAGGUAAAGAGGAGGAGGUUACUAGCCCUGUCAAAAAUGAUAAGUUUCAUGGGGGAAGGGGUAAUCUGUAACGCCCCGAGACCGAUGUGCCAGGUGUCUUCCAGUUAUUUGCUGUUGUUGCCUUGUCAUGUGCUUGCGUAUCAUGCAUCUCAUAUCAUGUCAUCAUGUGCAUUUCAUUUGCAUACAUGUUCUUCUCAUGCAUCCGAGCAUUUUCCCGGUUGUCCGUUUUGCAAUCCGGCGCUCCUAUGUCAUCCGGUGUCCCAUUUCUACCUCUUUUCUUGUGUGGGUAUUAAACGUUCUCAGAUUGGACCGAGACUUGCCAAGCGGCCUUGGUUUACUACCGGUAGACCGCCUGUCAAGUUUCGUGCCAUUUGGACUUCGUUUGAUACUCCAACGGUUAACCGAGGGACCAAAAAUGCCUCGUGUGUGUUGCAGCCCAACACACCUCCAAAGUGGCCCAAAACCCACCUAAACCCCCUUCCAUCAUCUUGGUCGUUCGAUCAUGACCGCGUGGCCGAAAACCGCACCUCAUUUGGAACUUCCUAGCUCCCUCUACCUCUAUAAAUAGACCCCCCUUUCCAAAUUUCGGAUCUCUUCCCCGAAACCCUAGAUCCAACUCCCUCCGCGCCGCCGGACAUGUCCGCUCGCCGGCGGACGCGUCCACCCAGCCAGCCACGUUGCCGAACCAAUUGGAGGCCGCCAUGUCACCUUCCCCGCCGCCGCAGCCAAUCAGCGCCGCCACCUCAGCGCCCGCGCCGCCCAGUUCGCCGNNNNNNNNNNNNNNNNNNNNNNNNNNNNNNNNNNNNNNNNNNNNNNNNNNNNNNNNNNNNNNNNNNNNNNNNNNNNNNNNNNNNNNNNNNNNNNNNNNNNNNNNNNNNNNNNNNNNNNNNNNNNNNNNNNNNNNNNNNNNNNNNNNNNNNNNNNNNNNNNNNNNNNNNNNNNNNNNNNNNNNNNNNNNNNNNNNNNNNNNNNNNNNNNNNNNNNNNNNNNNNNNNNNNNNNNNNNNNNNNNNNNNNNNNNNNNNNNNNNNNNNNNNNNNNNNNNNNNNNNNNNNNNNNNNNNNNNNNNNNNNNNNNNNNNNNNNNNNNNNNNNNNNNNNNNNNNNNNNNNNNNNNNNNNNNNNNNNNNNNNNNNNNNNNNNNNNNNNNNNNNNNNNNNNNNNNNNNNNNNNNNNNNNNNNNNNNNNNNNNNNNNNNNNNNNNNNNNNNNNNNNNNNNNNNNNNNNNNNNNNNNNNNNNNNNNNNNNNNNNNNNNNNNNNNNNNNNNNNNNNNNNNNNNNNNNNNNNNNNNNNNNNNNNNNNNNNNNNNNNNNNNNNNNNNNNNNNNNNNNNNNNNNNNNNNNNNNNNNNNNNNNNNNNNNNNNNNNNNNNNNNNNNNNNNNNNNNNNNNNNGCCGGCGACCAACUUCGGCGACCGGAGUGCGCCGUCCCGCGCCAUCAUCCCCGCCGCCUCGCUCGCGCCGCAGUGCAGAGCACCGCCGCCACCCGCGCACAGCCUCCUCCUCCACCGUGCCGCCCGUUCCUGCCUUGUUCUUCACGCCACCGCACCCUCCUUCGCCGCCUCGCCUUGCCGGCGGGAACCGGCGUCGCCGCCCCUGCCUCCCCGAUCCGAUGGGGAUCGAGGGAGACGACGACGCCCCCGUUGACCCCUUCGUGGGCCCCGCCUUCGACCCAACGCGCCGGCCUCGUUAGGCCCAGCGCCAAGCCGGCCCAGUCUCCAGGCCCAGCUCCACUCCCUCCGGCCCGAUUUUUUUUCGCGAGGGUAUAUUUCUCCAAGUCCUCAGUAUUUUCAGGCUUUUUCAUCGCAUCAUAACUCCCUCACCGUAGCUCUGAUUUGUGCGUGUAGCAUAUCAAAAUGUUCAUCUCGACAAGUACAUCAUUUCAUCUCAUUGCAUCAUUUUCAUUUGAGCUCAUCUUGAUGCUCGAAAUGCUGUUGUAAGAGGGCUAUGUGAUGAUGGUUUCAGAUCUGUUUCAGCAAAUGCACUUUUGUCAUUUUUGCCACGAUUAAUGUGUGCAUGCUAUGAUCCUGAGCUCUACAUGUGUUUUGAAGAAUGCCAUGCCAUCUUUACAGGGGUGUAUGCCAUGUAUUUUUGUGAUCUUUGUGGUGACUAGCACAAGCAUGCAAAGUAGCUUACUCAAUGUUGUUGAUUUCAGGGACUUAGAAAUAUUCCAAGUCCUUGCCCUGUUAUUAUUUUUAUGCCAUAUGUUCAUGUUGUUUCCGAGUAAUCCGUGCCUCUUUUGAGCAUGAUCAGUAAGGAUGUUUUGUAAAUAAUGUUGUGCUAUAUCCAUCCAUGUCUUUGUUUCCAAUUAUGGAGCACCCUAGCUUGAGUCAAUCGAGCUCUACUUUUGCUAUAGAAUGUUCCUGGCAGAUUGUUAACAUGUUUAGAAAUUUUGCCGAGCUUGUUGUUGUUGAUCCGAGCAUGCUAUGUUGUUGUUCUUACCAUGUCUAGCUUCUAUGCCAUGUCUAUUUGCUGGGUGUAUGCUUAGUUUGUCAUGCAAUGCCUCGUAGUGAGUGCAUCGAGCUCGUAAACAUGCCUACUCGUUAUCUGUUUUGCCAUGCUCCAGUUUUUCACUAAGUCUGAAUCUGUUAACGUUAAUUGCUAUGUUCGCAUGCUUGCCAUUGUAUUUUCUGAUCCCUUUUGGCUUAUGGUCAGUAAGGGACUUUUUUUGUAUGCUUUGAGUAGCUUCAUGCCAUGCCUUGCUUUGCCAUGUUAUGUUCCUGUAGCAUGUAGUUUUCAUGCUCUAAAGAUUGCUUCCUGAUGAUAAAUUCCUGACUUGUGUUAUUUUCUCCAAGUCUGUAACCUGUUAUCAUUUGCACUUUUGCCAUGUUUGUUUGAGCUUGCUAUUGAGUGAAUUAGCCAUAGCUCAGUGUUCAUCUUUUGUCAAGCAUCUUGAGUGGAUCCCUGCCAUGUAUUUAGUUGCCAUCUUUGAGUGCUGUAGCAUAUUUAACUUGAUGCUUUUAGAUGGUCUCUUGCUGUUAAUCGCAGACCGGUGCCAUAUUUGUUUUGCUUGUCAUUUCCAAACCGUGCAUCCGAUUCCGGUGAUCUUUAUAUCGAUUUCGACUGAAAUCACCUCCCCUUUCAAGUGGCACUCUUGGAUUUCCAAGUUGAGGCCAGGUUCAAUCAUUCCUUUGCAAAUCAUGCAUAUGCAUCACAUACCGCAUCCUGCAUAUCAUGCCAUGUUCAUGUGUUGGUUGUUUACUAUGUUGUGUGCUUCUUUCUGGUGUUGCUUCUUCGGGUUGGUUCUGAUAAAGUCACGUUUGUGAGGACCCAUUCGACUACGUCUGUUUGUCUUCUUCAUGGACUCGUUCUUCUUCCUUGCAGGAUCUCAUGCAAGAUGACCAUACCCUCGAAAUCACUUCUAUCUUUGCUUGCUAGAUGCUCGCUCUUUUGCUAUGCCUAUGCUGCGAUACCUACCACUUGCUUAUCAUGCCUCCCAUAUUGUUAAGCCAAGCCUCUAACCCACCUUGUCCUAGCAAACCGUUGUUUGGCUAUGUUACCGCUUUGCUCAGCCCCUCUUAUAGCGUUGUUAGUUGCAGGUGAAGAUUGGAGUUUGUUCCAUGUUGGAACAUGGAUAUUUUGUUGGGAUAUCACAAUAUCUCUUAUUUAAUUAAUGCAUCUAUAUACUUGGUAAAGGGUGGAAGGCUCGGCCUUAUGCCUAGUGUUUUGUUCCACUCUUGCCGCCCUAGUUUCUGUCAUAUCGGUGUUAUGUUCCCGGAUUUUGCGUUCCUUACAAGGUUGGGUUAUAAUGGGAACCCCUUGACAGUUCGCUUUGAAUAAAACUCCUCCAGCAAGGCCCAACCUUGGUUUUACCAUUUGCACUAACAACCUAGCCUUUUCCCUUGGGUUUCGCGGACUCAGGGGUCAUCUUUAUUUUAACCCCCCCCCGGGCCAGUGCUUCUCUAAGUGUUGGUCCGAACCGAGUAGACUGCGGGGGCAACUUGAGGGUUGGUUUUACUCGUAGGAUGUCUCAUCUGAGUGUGCCCUGAGAACGAGAUAUGUGCAGCUCCUAUCGGGAUUUGUCGGCACAUUCGGGCGGCUUUGCUGGACUUGUUUUACCAUUGUCGAGGAUGUCUUGUAACCGGGAUGCCGAGUCUGAUCGGAUUGUCUUGGGAGAAGGAAUAUCCUUCAUUGACCGUGAGAGCUUGUGAUGGGCUAAGUUGGGACACCCCUGUAGGGAUUUGAACUUUCGAAAGCCGUGCCCGCGGUUAUGGGUAGAUGGGAAUUUGUUAAUGUCCGGUUGUAGAAAGCCUGAAGUUUAUCUUAAUUAAAAUACAUCAACCGCGUGUGUAGCCGUGAUAGUCUCUUUCCGGCGGAGUCCGGGAAGUGAACACGGUGUUGGAGUUAUGCUUGACGUAGGUUGUUCUAGAAUCACUUCUUGAUCAUAGUUUUUCGAACGUGCUUUGCCUUCUCUUCUCGCUCUCAUUUGCAUAUGUUAGCCACCAUAUAUGCUAGUCGCUUGCUGCAGCUCCACCUCAUACCUUUUACCCUUCCCAUAAGCUUAAAUAGUCUUGAUCACGAGGGUGUGAGACUGCUGAGUCCCCGUGACUCACAGAUACUUCCAAAACCAGUUUGCAGGUGCCGAUGAUAUCGUAUAGGUGAUGCAACUGAGCUCAAGGAGGAGCUCGAUGAAGAUCUUGUCCUUUGUGUUGUUUCAUUUCAGUCGAUCAGUAGUGGAGCCCAGUUGGGAUGAUCGGGGAUCUGUGUAGCAUUUGGGGUAGUCUUCUUUUUAUUUUGGUUUUGUAGUCGGACCUUGAAUGUAUCUGGAUGAUGUAAUGCUUUAUUCAUGUAUUGUGUGAACUGGCGAUUGUAAGCCAACUAUGUAUCUCUUUCCCUUUAUGUAUUACAUGGGUUGUUGUGAAUAUUACCUCACUUGCGACAUUGCUUUCAAUGCGGUUAUGCCUCUAAGUCGUGCUUCGACACGUGGGAGAUAUAGCCGCAUUGAGGGCGUUACAUAACCCAAAGAAGCUGGACCUCAAAGAAGGAGCAAAGCGGCUGCAAGCUAGUCCUGAUGGGCAAGAGGAUGUGGCACCCGCUGUAGUAAGAAACCCGAGCAAGUCAGAGGUGGAGUCUGGGGAGAAGGGUGGGAGGAUGGUUAUACCAAGCGAGGUGGGGGAGAAAGACAAGUCUUUGGGAGGGAGAAAAUACAAAAAGAAGGGUAGAGACAGGGCUGCUGUAGUGGGUGUGAUGGAGAUGGAUACUGGUCUGGGCGGGAAGAGGGGGAGGGUGGAAGAAGAGGAAUAUGAUGUAGAGUAGCUAGGAAAGAAGGGUAAGGUGGAUGAGAUGUCUCAGGAUGUUGUGCUGGCGACCAACGCCCUGCUUUUGGCUGCCAAUGAUAAGAUAUCAGCCGGGCUGCUGGAGCAGCCCCGCCGGGAGUCAUGAAAAUAAUAAGCUGGAAUUGCCGAGGACUUGGGAAUGGCCCGGCGGUUCAAGGACUCCUCGAUAUGGGGAGACUGGAGGAUCCCGAUAUAUUGUUUUUGGCUAAAACUAAACUAACAGAAGGGGAGUUGGAGAGGUUCGUGUGGUCUCUUGGGUUGGCCAACAUGAUAGGUUGGGACCCAGUGGGCCGAGCAGAGGGAUUGCGAUGUUCUGGAGGAGGGGUGUGGACGUGAUGCUCAGAUCGUACAGUAGGAGACAUGUGGAUGUUGAUGUGGAAGGGGAGGAAGGAGGUGUAUGGAGGCUAAGGGGGUUUAUGGAGAGUCCGAUGCUGACUGAAAAAAAGAAACAUGGCGCACCAUCAGAUUACUAGGGCAACAUCACCAAGAGGGGAGGCCGUGGUUGUGUGUAGGGGACUUCAAUGAGAUCCUGGCAGAUGAUGAGAAGGUGGGAGGAGUGUCGCGGGCAUAGUCUUGGAUGGAUAACUUCAGAGAGAGUCUUGUCAAUUGUGCACUCUAUGAUAUUGGGUACGAAGGAGACAAGUUCACUUAGAGGAAUCACAACAAAGAAUAUGAUACUUAUAUCUAUGAAAGAUUGGAUAGAGCAACGACAAACGCGAAGUGGUGUGAACUCUUCCCUGAGUUCUCGGUGUUGAACGGUAAUCCAUGCCACUCCGACCACCACCCUAUUAUUGUUGUUAUGAAGGGAGAUAAAAAAGCGAGACCAAGUGGUGGCCGGGGUUUUCAGUUUGAAGCUUGGUGGCUGCAGGAAGACGGGUGGAGUGAAGAGAUACAAGGGGCGUGGGGGGAGAGCUGGAUGGAGGAGGAGGUGGUGUGGCCGGUGCUAUGGAGGAAGUGGCAGGCAGAAUGAAAAAGUGGAACAAGGAGGUGGUGGGAGAACUUGAGUGUAGAUUGAAGAAGGGUCGAGCUGAUCUAGAAAGAUGUAUGAAACAACCCGUGUCGGAGCACAAGGUUAGGGAGGAGGCGUGACUUAGAUGUGUGGUGAGGGAUCUGGAAGAGAGAAAGUACACUAAAGCUAAGCAAAGAACGCACAUCACUUGGCUGAAACAUGGCAAUAGGAACACACACUAUUUCAUGGCGUUUGCAUCGGCCAGGAAGAAAUCAAACAGAGUGAAGAAGCUGAGGAGAGAGGAUGGCUCGAUUUUGGAGGAGGGACCAGAGUUGACUAACUAUAUUCGCUCUUUUUUUCAGGACCUGUUCACCACAAAUAACAGCACUCGGUUAGCCGAAUUGAUUGAUCAAGUGGAGCCCCGGGUCACGAGCACUAUGCAGGCUGCCCUUAAUGCGGAAUUCACUCGAGAGGAAAUCAAGGUAGCUCUUGACCACAUAGGAGACAUGAAGGCACCCGGGCCAGAUGGGAUGCCGUCCAUAGUCUAUAAAAAGCACUGGCAUUUUAUGGGGGACCGCAUUGUGUAGGAAGUGCUUGCUGUACUGAAUGGUGGUGAUAUCCCUAUGGGGUGGAACGAUACAGUGGUUGUGCUGAUUCCGAAGGUCAAAAAUCCAAGCAGGAUCAAGGACCUCAGGCCGAUAUCCCUCUGUAAUGUACUGUACAAACUGGUGUCCAAGGUGACUGCAAACAGACUCAAAACCAUCCUUCCUGAUCUUAUCUUAGAUAAUCAGAGCGCCUUUGUUCCGGGAAGACUUAUCACUGACAAUGUUCUUAUAGCCUACGAGCUGUCCCAUUUCCUGUUAAACAAGAAGAAAGGGAAGGAAGGUGUUGCUGCGGUUAAAGCGGAUAUGAGUAAGGCUUAUGACUGGGUCGAGUGGAAUUUUCUACAGGCAAUGCUUGGCAAGCUUGGUUUUAAUAGAGCUUGGGUGGAUCUGAUUAUGAAGUGUGUUACAUCGGUGCGGUACCAAAUUAAGGUUAAUGGUGAGUUGACAGAGCAGUUUGUCUCGUCACGCGUUCUGCGUCAAGGGGACCCAGUCUCGCCAUACCUAUUUGUGAUAUGCGCUGAAGGACUAUCAGCUCUACUCCAUGCUGCUAAGAGGGAGGGCAGAAUAACUGGAGUGAAAAUCUGUCAGGCUGCCCUGGCCGUGUCACACUUGCUAUUUGCCGACGAUUCAGUUCUAAUGCUGAAAGCCACCCCAGAAGAAGCAACUGAGUUGAGAGCAGUGUUGGAUCUCUAUGAGGCAUGCUCGGGAUAGUGUAUUAAUGUUGAAAAGUCGGCGGUAAUGUUCAGCCCCAAUACCUCCACUACAGCAAGGAAUACAGUAAAGGAUGCACUAGAGAUUCACAGCGAAAACUGGAAUGAGAAGUAUCUCGGGCUCCCGGUGCAUGUGGGAAAAUCCAGAAGAAAGGCAUUUGCUUAUAUCAAAGGGGCAUUGGCAAGAAGGGUUUAUGGGUGGAAGGAAAAGCUUAUUGCGAAGGUGGGCAAGUAGACGUUAGUGACGGCGGUGGUGCAAGCAAUCCCCACAUUUGCUAUGUCAUGUUUUGAUCUCACAAAAAGCUUCUGUCAGGAGUUAAGUUCUCUCAUUGGUUCAUACUGGUGGAACCAACAAGAGAAGGAGAAUACGGUACACUGGAUUGGGUGGGACAAACUAACCAGAUCAAAAGCGAGAGGGGGACUAGGAUUCCGGGACAUGCACGGAUUCAAUAUGGCAAUGCUAUCCAGGCAGGCUUGGUGACCGAUCCAAUAGCCGGACACAUUAUGUGCUCGUGUUCUUAAGGCCUGGUACUACCCACAUAGCAGUGUUCUUGAAGCUGAAGCCAAGGGUGGUAUCUCAUAUACCUGGAGGAGCUUAAUCAAAGGCAUUGAUUUGAUCCGAGAGGGUUAUAUUUGGCAGAUUGGUGAUGGAACUGAUGUUAACAUUUAGACGGAUCCUUGGAUCCCACGACCAUGGUCAUGGCGAGUCAUUACUCCUAGAGUUCACAAUCUGCUUACCAAGGUUAGUGACCAAAUAGACCUGGGUACAGGACAAUGGGAUGAGCAACUGGUGAGGGAAUCCUUCUGAGUAGAUGAUGCCCGGCACAUCCUCCAGAUGCACUUGAGAGAAGGAGUGCAUGAUUUCAUCGCAUGGCAGUUUGAUACAAAAGGGGAACACUCAGUCAAGAGCGACUAAAAGUUAUAUGCCGAGUUAGAAUCGCAGCGGAGACUUGGAGGAGUGGGUAUGAGCUCCACAUCUGCUGGCAAUCUGAAUGUUUGUAGGGACGACUCAUGGAAAAGGAUAUGGAAGCUCCCGUGCCCAUGAACGGUGCAAAUGUUCACAUGGCGGGUGAAGCAUGAAUAACUAGCGCUCCUGACCAAUAUGGAGAGAAGAGGUCUUAAAUUAGAGAGCACGAAGUGCUUCUUUUGUGGACAAGCCAGUGAGGACGGUGCUCAUCUAUUUAUCAAGUGCAAAUCUGUCAAAGUUGAGUGGAGAGAGCUUGCUCUUGAAAAGGAAAGAAUGGAAUUGGAAAAUAUAACAUCCGUGCAUGCAAUGCUGGACUAUCUGUGGGGGCUGGACGAGAGUAAGCGCAUGCAUAUCCUUACCUUUUGGUGGCUCUGGUGGAGUGCUAGGAACAAACUGAGGAAAUGGGAGCUGGGUGCAAAGGCUGGAACUGUGGCGAGAAACACUCGUACUGCAGUUCUUGAGUACAUGCAGGUGUAUUUCCUACCGGCCAAGAAACCAAGCCCAGACAGAUGGGCACCACCAACGGGAGAGAUGGUGAAAAUGAACACUGAUGGGUCCUUCGUCCCAGGUGAGCACCAUGCUGGUUGGGGCGUUGUGGCGAGGGACUCUGCAGGAGUGGUCAUCGCAGCACGAGCCGGGAGAUAGGAGUAUGUGGCUGAUGCGUUUUCUGCAGAGGUUUAUGCGCUAUCGCAUGCAGUCUCACUUGCGGCUGACCUUGGCCUCACGAGGGUGGAGUUUCAGGUGGAUUCACAGCUGCUGGCGGAAGGCAUGAACUUCAUGAAAGCUGACUCGUCGCCGUAUGCAUCUGUCAUUGAAUACACGAAAUACCAGCUUAAGAUGUGGUUCGUUGAACAUGUAAUAACUGUUUUAUCGUCGCAGUGCAAAUUCUGUAGCACAUGAACUGGCCAGUAUAGGUCGUAUGCUUCCUGAAAACCACUAUAUGGAGUGGAACUCUGAUGUACCAGCCCAGGUGGCUGCUUGUGUUGUGGGCAAUUUGCCCGAACACCGUUAAGUAAUGAAAUCUUUGCUUGACCUUAAAAAAA